AUACGGAGGAUGCGAGCGUUAUCCGGAUUUAUUGGGUUUAAAGGGUGCGUAGGCUGUGCGUUAAGUCAGGGGUGAAAUGCCGUCGCUCAACGACGGAGCUGCCCUUGAUACUGGCGUGCUGGAGUACGGAUGCCGUUGGAGGAAUGAGUGGUGUAGCGGUGAAAUGCUUAGAUAUCACUCAGAACACCGAUUGCGAAGGCAUCUGACGAAUCCGUCACUGACGCUGAGGCACGAAAGCGUGGGGAUAGAACAGGAUUAGAUACCCUGGUAUUCCACGCCGUAAACGAUGAUGACUAACCGUCGGCGACAGACAGCCGGUGGCCAAGCGAAAGCGAUAAGUCAUCCACCUGGGGAGUACGUCGGCAACGAUGAAACUCAAAGGAAUUGACGGGG
rnacentral:rRNA from 1 species